AUGAUGAAACACAUGAAAAAGAUAUAUGUGUACAACCUGGGACUCAAUCCAGACUUGCUCAUAUCAUCCCAGGUCCAGCUCCUGGCUUAUCAGGAAUGUUCCCAAGCAAAUAUUCUCUGCACCUGGCCCAAGGUUGCCCUGUGGAUUGAUCUCUAUGGUAGGGUUGACAGAGAAAAUACAGCAUGCCCAGCUAAUUUUAAUUUCAGAGCAGUUACCUACAGAGUCCAUUGUUCACCUGUUUAUCCUGGAUUUAGAACUAUCUAUGUUUGCUGAUGUCUGAGAGGCUAUGGCUUACUCCAUUUAUACCCAGAUGAAGAAACUGAGCCUCAGGAACUGAACUGCAGAAUGUCCUGCUCUCAACCACUGAACUAUCAUGCUAUGUUUCAUUUUUAAUGUAUUUCAUUAUUUCACAAAUUCAAGUUUAUCACGGUUUAAAACUUAUCUCCUGAACAUGCCAACUGUAUUUACAAAAAGCCCUACUAGGCACACCUAGUACACAAAAUAAAUGUUUUUAUAAAUGCAACAUUACAAGGAACUUUUCUUUUGUGCUCAUUUUUACCAUGUAUCUCACAGAAAUAUUAGAUUCAUGAAUAGAAAAGUUUCUAUUUUCUGUUAAAGUAGUGAUAGACUGUAUCACUAAAAUAGUGAUAGACUGUAAACUAUUUAGAAGGGAGAAUAAUUAUGGCUGAUAGAAGCCCCAGAUUCAUGGGAAUUGAUCUGGAGUUAAAACAGCCAAGUAAACAUCCAUUAGAAUGUGCUGGAUCUUACUGCAGGACAAAAACGUUUCAUCUUGGGUCCUAACUUUCCCAUUUAUGUUCAGGUAUAGGGAAACAUUAGGAAGUGGGGAAAUUGAGAAAUACUUAAAAGAAAAACAACUAACAACUAAAGUCCUAUUUGGAUCAGUGCUCUGAGAAUCUGAGAUAGGAUUAUGACCCCACUACUGUGUCUUCUAAUGACAGCUCUUUCUAUUCUGCAUUUAUCAGAUGUUAAUUAUUCAUACUGCAUGAUUGAUGAUUUUGGAGUCAGAGAUUCACCUGCAAUAUUUGGAAUACUGGUGGAGGCCUACAUCAACACAGAAUUUAUAAAGCAGCUGGUGCUAGUCAAAGCUAAUGAUGGAAUUUCAGUUUAAUAAAAAGACCCCCAACUGAGCACACCAUCUUGAAAAAAGUAUACUUAUCGAACGGCUUUCAAUCAGUUCAAGAGAGACACCUUAAUUGGGAAGAGGAAAAUUUGCAGAGCAGUUUGUCAUUGUGCCAAUUCUAGAUCAAUAACUGCAUGUCUGCUCUUUGGGAGACAUAGCUUUUGCUUUAUAUUGAGUAACCACAUUGACUUCCUCUCCACUUGGGUACACUCUGUUUCAUUUGAUAAUGUUAAAGGAUAUCUUCUUUUAAUUCACCUCUGUGUCUUCAUAAUAAACAUGAGCAAAUGUAGACUUGUGAUUAUGAAGGUCAACAUUUUAAAUUUUUAAAAUAAAUUUUAUAUUUUUGCCACAAGAAGGCAAUGCUUA
rnacentral:lncRNA from 1 species